rnacentral:tRNA from 1 species
GGGCCCGUCGCCUAGCCAGGAUAGGGCACCAGGCUUCUAACCUGGCGGUCGUGGGUUCGAAUCCCACCGGGCCCA